AUGAAUCUGCACGUUACUGCAGAUAAGCCUCUACUUCUGCAAUUUUUUAUUCAGACAAAGGCUGGAAAGAAAACGACGUUGGGGGAAGGGAGAGAUAAGCAGGUUGGCUGCAGGGCCCAGGCGCUGCCCGGAAGGAUUCGAACCCUUUUCCAGAGUCUCCAUCAGCGCCCCCCGCCCCAUUACAAAAGCCACCGUUUACUGAGCAGUUUCCCCGCACCCACAAGGCACCCUUCUGGUCGACCUCGGGAACCCAGGAUACCCGCGGUGUCCGGAGCCUGUCCCCCACGAGCCGGCGCCCCAUCACCUCUUCCUCGCAAACCCAGAGGUGCGCAGCCAAGGCGCAGAGACCCCGGGGGAGUGGGGGGUCCGCGGCGCGGAGUCGGGGGCCGCUGGCCUGGAGGACCGAGGGCCGGCCCGGCUCAGCCCGCUCUGGAAGGCGGAGGUGCCACAUCCCCAGCCUCUCUCUGCCGCCUGCCUCCCUCCCUCGCCCGCCCGCCCGCCCGCCGCUCGGGGCCGGGAUGCGCCACGUCCCUGCCCGCCGAGGCUGCGCUCCGGCCCACUGCUCCCCUGCCCCGCGGUGCCCGCCGCCGGCCACGUAAAACGGCCGCAGAGGCGGAGCCUGCCCGCCGGCCGAGGCCCAGCGCGUCCCGAGCCCGUUACCCCCAGACCCCAAGCCCCGGACCCCGGACCGAAGCCUCGCAGGCCGGCCGCCUCGCCGGCCGUCGUGUGGGGCGCCCCGGUCUCGACCCAAGUCCCGACCCCGGAGCGCCAGCGCGGAUACCUGGCAGCACCUCCAAACCGGGCACGGGACAGGCGGCGUCGACAGCGCGGCAGCGCAACGGCGGCGCGUCACAGAGCUUAAGACGCGGCUUCCGCCCCGCCCCCCGGGACGCCCUCGCCGCCCAUUGGCUGGCGGCAGAGGGCUGGGCACCAAUCGCCGUGCGCCCGGCCUCCGCCCCGCCCCCCAGACUGCCGCGCUUCGGGGACCCCGCCUCCCACCACGGGUUCGAAAGGCUGCUCGAAUCUCCUUGGCGCGACUGUUCUGGGACGCCACCGCGUCCCUGCGCUUCCCGUGCUGGCCUGGCCCGUGCCUUUCAGUCGGUCGCUCACCUCCCGCCCUUUGCUGGCGGGAAGACGAGGCCUGAAAGGAUGAAAUGUCUGUUGGGCGCCCUUGGGGCUCGCGGAGUCUCCUGGGCCCCAGCCACGAGGGUAUGGACCACAGGCUCGAUCCCCAGCCCAGGGCUCCUUGGCCGAGCUCCCGUUCCUUGCCACGCAAAGCCUUUUGUGGGGCUCCCACCCAGCUACACCUCAGAUACGGCUGCGGGACCCCUCAAACCCUGUGAGCUUCUGAACUCACCCCCAGAAGUCAUCACGGCAGCUGGUAAACACACGGCCCACCUCCUCGUGGCACCCCGUUGUGGUGUUGCCUCAGACUCGUUAUCCAAAUUUCUGAAAAGGCUGUGGAAAAAGAGAACCACCCCCAAACACCGGAGAAUACGACCAUAUGAGACCCACCAAAAGGUGAAAAGGUAGUUCGAUCAUUUAAUGGCCAUUGAUUGGGUGCAACAUAUUCCAGUGUGAGAGGUAAAAGAUCCCCAAGAUAUGUGGAUGAAUUGGCAGAGAAAGAAAGCGAGAGACAGAGAGGAAGAAACGGGCAGGCUCUCCCAGACGGAAGAAGCAAUGACUCCAGACAAAAUGUAGCAGGUGCUAAGGGAUUAAGGUGAGGCCUUGCCUGCUAGAGGAGCUGGCCGCCCAGGCAGAGAAAAGCAAUGUGUCAGGAUUUAGUCUGGGAGGAAGUGUAAGACGUGAUAAGGAUGUGCAGGAAGAAAAUGUUAGAAAUUCUAU
rnacentral:lncRNA from 1 species